AAAGGUUUCAAUUUUGACCUGCAAUUUUUCCACCAUCGUUUGAUGUUUGAAUGAGGAUGGCAUUGGCUGCUUACCAGUCAUUUGGGUUAUCAGUCAUGCAUUCACAACAUACUGAGAAAUAAAUAUGCUAUGAUUAUCUAUGUGAAUUCCAGCAUAUAAUGUUCUUUUCUUGAUAAAUACAUCAGCAUUUUGUAAAGAUCAGAAGUUGCCUAUGUUUUCAAUGCGUACUUACUACUUACCAGUCAAUUGUCGUGUCCUUCACGGUACAUACAGGGUCUUCUCAGUUAACAAUCACAAGGGUGUUUUCUAAUUCUAUCCUUAACUUGAAUGGAACCAGUAGGAAGGGAGAUCCAGAACAAAAACUAAAUGGGUCAUCUUCGUUUUUCGUUUCUGAUCGGUACUAAUUUGCUCCUUCUGUUAUUCACACUUUCCUUCGCAGUUGACGGCAUUAGUCCCUCCCAGUCUAUCCGUGAUGGAACGACCUUGCUUUCAAUAGGUGGAAGCUUUGAGCUUGGUUUCUUCAGUCCAGGUAGUUCCGAGAAUCGUUACUAGGGAAUUUGGUACAAGAACAUCCGGCAUCUUGAUGAUAAACAGAUGCAACCCCAUUAAUGAUUCUCGUACCCCAUCCGGCAUUUGGUACGAGAAUCGUUAGAAACUGUUGUGUGGGUUGCAAACAGAUGCAACCCCAUUAAUGAUUCUUCCGGCAUCUUGAUGAUAAACAGUACAGGACAUCUUGUGCUGUUAGGUCAGAAUAAGAGUGUUGUUUGGUGGAUAAACUCAGCUAAACAUGCCCCAAGUGCAACGGUAGAGCUUUUAGAUUCUGGGAAUAUAGUACUAAGAGAUGCAGGAACCUAUUUGUGGCAAAGCUUUGACUAUCCUUCUGAUACGUUGUUACCAGGAAUGAAGAUGGGAUGGGACUUGAGGACAGGUACAAAACGGAGUUUCUCAGCAUGGACAAAUUCAGAAGACCCGUGUCCAGGAGAUUUAACUUAUGGGAUUGAAAUGGAACGUGAUACUUAUCCUGAGGCAUAUGCUCGGAAAGGCACUGCAAAAUACUAUCGUACUGGCCCAUGGAAUGGCCUGAGAUUCAGUGGUUCACCAGAAUUAAGAUCCACUUUAUAGUUUCGAAUUUGUCUAUAAUGAUGAUGAAGUGUACUACAUGUACAACCUUCAAAAUAAGUCCGUAAUCUCAAGAAUAGUUUUGAACCAAACCACCAGUACUCGUGAUAGCUUUACGUGGAUUGAAGCAGAUCAAACUUGGAGGGCCUAUUCAUCAGUACCAAGAGACUUGUGUGAUAAUUAUGGCCUCUGUGGAGCCAAUGGAAAGUGUAUCAUUGGUGAGAAUCCAGUCUGCCUAUGUCUAAAAGGAUUCAAGCCUAUGUCUCAAGAAAAAUGGAAUUUGAUGGACUGGUCUCUAGGAUGUGUGCGCAAUAAACCGUUAAGCUGCCAGGAAAGAUAUAAAGAUGGGUUUGUCAAAUUUGUUGGCUUGAAACUGCCAGAUACUACACAUUCUUGGGUGAAAAAAAGUAUGAAUCUCAAGGAAUGCAGAACCAAAUGCUUGAACAAUUGUUCCUGUAUGGCUUAUACAAGCUCGGAUAUCAGAGGAGGAGGUACUGGCUGCGCCAUCUGGUUUGAUGAUCUAAUGGAUAUCAGGCAGUUUCCAGCUGCUGGGCAGGAUCUGUAUAUUCGUAUGCCAGCCUCAGAGUUAGGUAUGGAACUUUGUAACGCGAGCUGCUUAAGUGGUGGUAAAGUGAAGACAGCAAUGAUAAUUGCAGUUUCCGUAGCAGUAGUGUUUUCUGUAGUGCUGUUAGUUGGAUAUUACCUUCACCGAAACAGGAGAAAAUUAAAAGAGAUAGGUGAAACAAAUAUGAACAAUGGAGGGGAACCAGAGGAUGAUCUGGAGCUCCCGGUCUUUGACCUGCCCACAGUAGCUAGUGCCACAGAUAACUUUUCAAGCGAUAACAAGCUCGGAGAAGGUGGAUUUGGACCCGUUUACAGGGGGACACUACCAGAUGGACAAGAAAUUGCUGUGAAGAGGCUUUCAAGAAGUUCUGGCCAAGGAUUGAAUGAGUUCAAGAAUGAAGUUAUACUGAUUGCAAAGCUUCAGCAUCGAAAUCUUGUAAAGCUUCUUGGAUGCUGCGUUCAAGGAGAGGAGAAAAUGCUUAUUUAUGAAUACAUGCCAAACAGAAGCCUGGACUCCUUUAUUUUUGAUAGUGUGAGAGGAGAACUACUGUUAGAUUGGCCAAAACGUUUCCACAUUAUUUGCGGAGUUGCUUGGGGUCUUCUCUAUCUCCAUCAGGAUUCCAGGCUAAGGAUUAUUCAUCGAGAUCUCAAAGCAAGUAAUGUUUUACUUGAUAAUGAAAUGAAUCCAAAAAUUUCAGACUUUGGCUUGGCUAGAACUUUAAUUGGAGGAGAUCAGUCUGGUGGAAAUACAAACAGAGUAGUUGGAAGAUACGGUUAUAUGGCACCUGAAUAUGCUAUUGAUGGGCUGUUUUCUGUCAAAUCGGAUGUAUUUAGCUUUGGUAUUUUGGUGCUGGAGGUCAUAAGUGGGAGGAAAAAUAAGGGAUUCUACCAUCCAAACCACAGUCAUAACCUUAUUGGACAUGUAAGAAUCAGCAGUAUAAUUUCUUCUUUAUGCAUAUUGGGCCUGUGAAUGGCAAUUGUCUACAGAGGAGUUUUGACAUGUUUCAGGCAUGGAGAACUGAUUGAUACGUGUUUAGAAAGCUCAUGUACUCUAUCGGAAGUGCUACGUUGCAUCCAUGUUAGUCUCUUAUGCGUGCAACAUCAUCCCGAGGAUAGACCAAGCGUGGCAUCUGUGGUUAUCAUGCUGGGAGGUGAGAUUGCAUUGGCUCAGCCCAAACAACCUGGUUUCUUUAUAGAAAAGGAAUCGCAUGAAGCAGGCUCUUCUUCAGGUAAUCAAAAAUCUUCAACAAACGAAAUAUCGAUUACACUUUUGGAGGGCCAAAUGGGUCAUCUUUGUUUUUCGUUUAUGAUCGGUACUAAUUUGCUCCUUCUGUUAUUCACACUUUCCUUUGCAGUUGACAGCAUUAGUCCCUCCCAGUCUAUCCGUGAUGGAACGACCUUGGUUUCAAAAGGUGGAAGCUUUGAGCUUGGUUUCUUCAGUCCAGAUACUCCCGAGAAUCGUUACUUGGGAAUUUGGUACAAGAACAUCCCAGUUAGAACUGUUGUGUGGGUUGCAAACAGAUGCAACCCCAUUAAUGAUUCUUCCGGCAUCUUGAUGAUAAACAGUACAGGACAUCUUGUGCUGUUAGGUCAGAAUAAGAGUGUUGUUUGGUGGAUAAGCUCAGCUAAACAUGCCCCAAGUGCAACGGUAGAGCUUUUAGAUUCUGGGAAUUUAGUACUAAGAGAUGCAGGAACCUAUUUGUGGCAAAGCUUUGACUAUCCUUCUGAUACGUUGUUACCAGGAAUGAAGAUGGGAUGGGACUUGAGGACAGGUAUAAAACGGAGUUUAUCAGCAUGGAAAAAUUCAGGAGACCCGUGUCCAGGAGAUUUAACUUAUGGGAUUGAAAUGGAACUUGAUACAUAUCCUGAGGCAUAUAUUCGGAAAGGCACUGCAAAAUACUAUCGUAGUGGGCCGUGGAAUGGCCUGAGAUUAAGUGGUUUACCAGAAUUAAGGCCUAAUCCACUUUAUAGGUUCAACUUUGUCUAUAAUUACAAUGAAGUGUACUACAUGUACAACCUUCAAAAUGAGUCUCUAAUCACAAGAUUAGUUUUGAACCAAACCACCAGUACUCGAAUUCGCCUUACGUGGAUUGAAGCAGAUCAAGCUUGGAGGGCCUAUUCAUCAGUACCAAGAGACUUGUGUGAUAAUUAUGGCCUCUGUGGAGCCAAUGGAAAUUGUAUCAUUGAUGAGAAUCCAGUCUGCCAAUGUCUAAAAGGAUUCAAGCCUAUCUCUCAAGAAAAAUGGAAUUUGAUGGACUGGUCUCUAGGAUGUGUGCGCAAUAAACCAUUAAGCUGCCAGGAAAGAUAUAAAGAUGGAUUUGUCAAAUUUGUUGGCUUGAAACUGCCAGAUACUACACAUUCUUGGGUGAACAAAAGUAUGAAUCUCAAGGAAUGCAGAACCAAAUGCUUGAACAACUGUUCCUGUAUGGCUUAUACAAGCUAUGAUAUCAGAGGAGGAGGUACUGGCUGCGCCAUCUGGUUUGAUGAUCUAAUAGAUACCAGGCAGUUUUCAGAUGCUGGGCAGGAUCUGUAUAUUCGAAUGUCGGCUUCAGAAUUCGAAAGUGGUGGUAAAGUGAAGACAGCAAUGAUAAUUGCAGUUUCCGUAGCAGUAGUGUUUUCUGUAGUGCUUUUAGUUGGAUAUUACCUUCGCCACAACAGGAGAAAAUUAAAAGAGAUAGGUGAAACAAAUAUGAACAAUGAAGGGGAACCAGAGGAGGAUCUGGAGCUCCCGCUCUUUGACCUGCCCACAGUGGCUAGUGCCACAGAGAACUUUUCAAGCGAUAACAAGCUCGGAGAAGGUGGAUUUGGACCCGUUUACAGGGGGACACUACCAGAUGGACAUGAAAUUGCUGUGAAGAGGCUUUCAAGAAGUUCUGGCCAAGGAUUGAAUGAGUUCAAGAAUGAAAUUAUACUGUUUGCCAAGCUCCAGCAUCGAAAUCUUGUAAAGCUUCUUGGAUGCUGCAUUAAAGGAGAGGAGAAAAUGCUGAUUUAUGAAUACAUGCCCAACAGAAGCCUGGACUCCUUUAUUUUUGAUAGUGUGAGAGGAGAACUACUGUUAGAUUGGCCUAAACGUUUCCAUAUUAUUUGCGGAGUUGCUCGGGGUCUCCUCUAUCUCCAUCAGGAUUCCAGGCUAAGGAUUAUUCAUCGAGAUCUCAAAGCAAGUAAUGUUUUACUUGAUAAUGAAAUGAAUCCAAAAAUUUCAGACUUUGGCUUGGCUAGAACAUUAAUUGGAGGAGAUCAGUCUGGUGGAAAUACAAACAGAGUGGUUGGAACAUACGGUUAUAUGGCACCUGAAUAUGCUAUUGAUGGGCAGUUUUCUGUCAAAUCGGAUGUAUUUAGCUUUGGUAUUUUGGUGCUGGAGGUCAUAAGUGGAAGGAAAAAUAAGGGAUUCUACCAUCCAAACCACAGUCAUAACCUUAUUGGACAUGCAUGGAGAUUGUGGAUUCAAGGAAGGCCUUCAGAACUGAUUGAUAGGUGUUUAGAAAGCUCAUGUACUCUAUCGGAAGUGUUACGUUGCGUCCAUAUUAGUCUCUUAUGCUUGCAACAUCAUCCCGAGGAUAGACCAAGCAUGGCAUCUGUGGUUAUCAUGCUGGGAAGUGAGAUUGCAUUGGCUCAGCCCAAACAACCUGGUUUCUUUAUAGAAAAGGAAUCACAUGAAGUAGGCUCUUCUUUAGGUAAUCAAACAUCUUCAACAAACGAAAUAUCGAUUACACUUUUGGAGGGCCGUUAAAGAAUCGAUUAAUUCAUGGUAUAUAGGUUUAUGUUGCUUUGUUUACUUGUUGUGCCUACUUUCAAAACAAGUAACUUAGGGACCGUUUGAUAACCAUAUCAAUUUUCUUUUUUAGUUUUCAUUUUUUGUGCUGGAGUAUAGAGGAAAAAGAGGGAGAAUGGAGUGAGAAUGAGAGUGAAGAUGGGAUUGAGAGGGCCCUUAGUUUAUAGAUCGAAGUGGUUUGAGGUAUUGAACAAUAGAUAGGUUGGGUGAUAAAGACCAUUUAGCUAUUCAUGUCAUACUACAUGUAUAUGAUACCAACUAUUUCUCAACGGACACUUUUGAACAAAGCAGCAAUAUGUGAAUUCUUUGUUUUAAGAAAUUUUCUUAAUAUCCCAAGUUCCAUAGAUCUCAUAAACAUUCCGCAUCACCAAAAAAAAAAAAAAAAGUAGAUCUCAUAAACAGGCCCAAUAAAGGGACUUAGGCCCAUCCAAUAAAGGGAUUUAGCCGACGUGAGCUAUGGAACUUGGCAUUUGUUUAGCAUAUUGUAAAAACUGGCGAAGAAACACCCGUCGCA